rnacentral:lncRNA from 1 species
GGUUUAAAUGCUUGUGGCUCACUGUAGUUUAAGUGAGGAUUUCCUUGCAAUGAGUAGAAUUUCCCUUCUGUCCCUUGUCACAAGUUUAAAAACCUCACAGCUUGUAUAAUGUAACCAUUUGGGGUCCGCUUUUAACUUGGACUAGUGUAACUCCUUCAUGAAAUAAACUGAAAAGAGCCAUAAAAAAAAAUGAAAACAGGGCCGGGCGCGGUGGCUCACGCCUGUAAUCCCAGCACUUUGGGAGGCCGAGGCAGGUGGAUCACGAGGUCAGGAGUUCAAGACCAGCCUGGCUAACAUGGUGAAACCCCG